rnacentral:misc_RNA from 1 species
GAUGAAGAACGUAGCGAAAUGCGAUACUUGGUGUGAAUUGCAGAAUCCCGUGAACCAUCGAGUCUUUGAACGCAAGUUGCGCCCGAAGCCAUUAGGCCGAGGGCACGCCCGCCUGGGCGUCACACGUCGUUGCCCCCCCAUCUACUCCUUCGGGAUUGCGGGGGGCGGAUGAUGGCCUCCCGUGCGCCUCGUCGCGCGGUUGGCAUAAAUGCCAUGUCCUCGGCGACGCACGCCACGACAAUCGGUGGUUGCGAAACCUCGGUUGCCCGUCGUGUGCGGUCGUCGCGCAUCGAGGGCUCGAAAAAAUUGCCGGGCUCCGGCUCGGCUUUCAACGCGACCCCAGGUCAGGCGGGGUUACCCGCUGAAUUUAAGCAUAUCAAUAAGCGGAGGA